GCCUGAAACCGAAUUCACUCAGUGACUUCACGCACGGAUUGAAUCGAAGAAAAAAUUCGAAAACUGAAGUCUGAAGGUGAAAACCCUAGCCGGCUAUCCUCUUCGCUCUUCCCUCUUCUCGUCAGUGUCGUCACUCUCCGUUCCAGUUAGGUUCAGGCAUCGGCUGAUUCGCUCUUCCCUCUAGCGGCCGAUGCGUUGAGGAUCGCCUUUUCUAGAUUUGUUGAAUUUGAAUUUGGAAGAUCUUGAUAUGGGUGAUGAGGCUGAAGAUAAUAUUGAUGGAGGGAAUGUCAAUGACCAAGUCCAAGAGAAUAUAUUUUUUGAAGCUCCUGAAGCACCAAAUGAUGUUGCAGCUGAAGGCAAUAUUCGUGAAAAUUAUGGUGGAAAUUGGAGUGCAUGGAAUUGUUGAUAAAAUUACCUCUGCUGUCAAAUAUUUUGUCGUGGUUUUCUUUGAUGGUUUUAUUUUUCUGCAAGUUAGAUCGACUUGUUUCUUUGGUUUUCUAAUGAGACAGUUAUAUGUACUUCCGCAAUGAUAUUUUCUGCAAGUUAUAUGGUUUUCUUGGGAGUGGGUUAAUAGCGAACAUGCAUCAUGGUUGGUUUUUGGUUUGUGGACACGGCGAUGCUGAUUCUAACCUAUUGUUUUGGUUCUGGUGCUGCAUUAAAGCUUUAUAAGGGAAAGGGAAAAAAAAAAAACAUAAUUGAUUCAGAAAGGAGGGACUAAGGAGGAAGGAAAAGAACAAAAAGAGCUAAAGAAAGGAUUUUGGUGCAAAC